GACGAACGCUGGCGGCGUGCUUAACACAUGCAAGUCGAACGGAAAGGCCCUGCUUUUGUGGGGUGCUCGAUUGGCGCACGGGUGAGUAACACGUGAGUAACCUGCCCUUGACUUUGGGAUAACAUCAGGAAACUGGGGCUAAUACCGGAUAGGAGCUCCUGAUGCGUGGUGGGGGAUGGAAAGUUUCGGCUGUUGGGGCUGGACUCGCGGCUUAUCCGCUUGUUGGUGGGGUAGUGGCUUACCAAGGCUUUGACGGGUAGCCGGCCUGAGAGGCGUGCCGGCCACAUUGGGACUGAGAUACGGCCCAGACUCCUACGGGAGGCAGAAGUGGGGAAUAUGGCACAAUGGGCGGAAGCCUGAUGCAGCAACGCCGCGUGCGGGAUGACGGCCUUCGGGGUGUAAACCGCUUUCGCCUGUGACGAAGCGUGAGUGACGGUAAUGGGUAAAGAAGCACCGGCUAACUACGUG
rnacentral:rRNA from 1 species